rnacentral:rRNA from 1 species
UACGGAGGGUGCUAGCGUUGUUCGGAAUUAUUGGGCGUAAAGCGCGUGUAGGCGGCUUGGCAAGUCGGGUGUGAAAUCCCUCAGCUUAACUGAGGAGGUGCGCCCGAAACUGCUUUGCUUGAGUGCCGGAGAGGAUGGCGGAAUUCCCCAAGUAGAGGUGAAAUUCGUAGAUAUGGGGAGGAACACCGGUGGCGAAGGCGGCCAUCUGGACGGUAACUGACGCUGAGGCGCGAAAGCGUGGGGAGCGAACAGG